rnacentral:rRNA from 6 species
UUAAGUUAUUAAGGGCGCACGGUGGAUGCCUUGGCACUAGAAGCCGAUGAAGGACGUUACUAACGACGAUAUGCUUUGGGGAGCUGUAAGUAAGCUUUGAUCCAGAGAUUUCCGAAUGGGGAAACCCAGCAUGAGUUAUGUCAUGUUAUCGAUAUGUGAAUACAUAGCAUAUCAGAAGGCACACCCGGAGAACUGAAACAUCUUAGUACCCGGAGGAAGAGAAAGAAAAUUCGAUUCCCUUAGUAGCGGCGAGCGAAACGGGAAGAGCCCAAACCAACAAGCUUGCUUGUUGGGGUUGUAGGACACUCUAUACGGAGUUACAAAGGACGACAUUAGACGAAUCAUCUGGAAAGAUGAAUCAAAGAAGGUAAUAAUCCUGUAGUCGAAAAUGUUGUCUCUCUUGAGUGGAUCCUGAGUACGACGGAACACGUGAAAUUCCGUCGGAAUCUGGGAGGACCAUCUCCUAAGGCUAAAUACUCUCUAGUGACCGAUAGUGAACCAGUACCGUGAGGGAAAGGUGAAAAGCACCCCGGAAGGGGAGUGAAAUAGAACCUGAAACCGUGUGCUUACAAGUAGUCAGAGCCCGUUAAUGGGUGAUGGCGUGCCUUUUGUAGAAUGAACCGGCGAGUUACGAUUUGAUGCAAGGUUAAGCAGUAAAUGUGGAGCCGUAGCGAAAGCGAGUCUGAAUAGGGCGUUUAGUAUUUGGUCGUAGACCCGAAACCAGGUGAUCUACCCUUGGUCAGGUUGAAGUUCAGGUAACACUGAAUGGAGGACCGAACCGACUUACGUUGAAAAGUGAGCGGAUGAACUGAGGGUAGCGGAGAAAUUCCAAUCGAACCUGGAGAUAGCUGGUUCUCUCCGAAAUAGCUUUAGGGCUAGCCUCAAGUGAUGAUUAUUGGAGGUAGAGCACUGUUUGGACGAGGGGCCCCUCUCGGGUUACCGAAUUCAGACAAACUCCGAAUGCCAAUUAAUUUAACUUGGGAGUCAGAACAUGGGUGAUAAGGUCCGUGUUCGAAAGGGAAACAGCCCAGACCACCAGCUAAGGUCCCAAAAUAUAUGUUAAGUGGAAAAGGAUGUGGCGUUGCCCAGACAACUAGGAUGUUGGCUUAGAAGCAGCCAUCAUUUAAAGAGUGCGUAAUAGCUCACUAGUCGAGUGACACUGCGCCGAAAAUGUACCGGGGCUAAACAUAUUACCGAAGCUGUGGAUUGUCCUUUGGACAAUGGUAGGAGAGCGUUCUAAGGGCGUUGAAGCAUGAUCGUAAGGACAUGUGGAGCGCUUAGAAGUGAGAAUGCCGGUGUGAGUAGCGAAAGACGGGUGAGAAUCCCGUCCACCGAUUGACUAAGGUUUCCAGAGGAAGGCUCGUCCGCUCUGGGUUAGUCGGGUCCUAAGCUGAGGCCGACAGGCGUAGGCGAUGGAUAACAGGUUGAUAUUCCUGUACCACCUAUAAUCGUUUUAAUCGAUGGGGGGACGCAGUAGGAUAGGCGAAGCGUGCGAUUGGAUUGCACGUCUAAGCAGUAAGGCUGAGUAUUAGGCAAAUCCGGUACUCGUUAAGGCUGAGCUGUGAUGGGGAGAAGACAUUGAGUCUUCGAGUCGUUGAUUUCACACUGCCGAGAAAAGCCUCUAGAUAGAAAAUAGGUGCCCGUACCGCAAACCGACACAGGUAGUCAAGAUGAGAAUUCUAAGGUGAGCGAGCGAACUCUCGUUAAGGAACUCGGCAAAAUGACCCCGUAACUUCGGGAGAAGGGGUGCUCUUUAGGGUUAACGCCCAGAAGAGCCGCAGUGAAUAGGCCCAAGCGACUGUUUAUCAAAAACACAGGUCUCUGCUAAACCGUAAGGUGAUGUAUAGGGGCUGACGCCUGCCCGGUGCUGGAAGGUUAAGAGGAGUGGUUAGCUUCUGCGAAGCUACGAAUCGAAGCCCCAGUAAACGGCGGCCGUAACUAUAACGGUCCUAAGGUAGCGAAAUUCCUUGUCGGGUAAGUUCCGACCCGCACGAAAGGCGUAACGAUUUGGGCACUGUCUCAACGAGAGACUCGGUGAAAUCAUAGUACCUGUGAAGAUGCAGGUUACCCGCGACAGGACGGAAAGACCCCGUGGAGCUUUACUGUAGCCUGAUAUUGAAAUUCGGCACAGCUUGUACAGGAUAGGUAGGAGCCUUUGAAACGUGAGCGCUAGCUUACGUGGAGGCGCUGGUGGGAUACUACCCUAGCUGUGUUGGCUUUCUAACCCGCACCACUUAUCGUGGUGGGAGACAGUGUCAAGCGGGCAGUUUGACUGGGGCGGUCGCCUCCUAAAAGGUAACGGAGGCGCUCAAAGGUUCCCUCAGAAUGGUUGGAAAUCAUUCAUAGAGUGUAAAGGCAUAAGGGAGCUUGACUGCGAGACCUACAAGUCGAGCAGGGUCGAAAGACGGACUUAGUGAUCCGGUGGUUCCGCAUGGAAGGGCCAUCGCUCAACGGAUAAAAGCUACCCCGGGGAUAACAGGCUUAUCUCCCCCAAGAGUUCACAUCGACGGGGAGGUUUGGCACCUCGAUGUCGGCUCAUCGCAUCCUGGGGCUGUAGUCGGUCCCAAGGGUUGGGCUGUUCGCCCAUUAAAGCGGUACGCGAGCUGGGUUCAGAACGUCGUGAGACAGUUCGGUCCCUAUCCGUCGUGGGCGUAGGAAAUUUGAGAGGAGCUGUCCUUAGUACGAGAGGACCGGGAUGGACAUACCUCUGGUGUACCAGUUGUCGUGCCAACGGCAUAGCUGGGUAGCUAUGUGUGGACGGGAUAAGUGCUGAAAGCAUCUAAGCAUGAAGCCCCCCUCAAGAUGAGAUUUCCCAACUUCGGUUAUAAGAUCCCUCAAAGAUGAUGAGGUUAAUAGGUUCGAGGUGGAAGCAUGGUGACAUGUGGAGCUGACGAAUACUAAUCGAUCGAAGACUUAAUCAA